ACUCCUACGGGAGGCAGCAGUGGGGAAUAUUGGACAAUGGGCGCAAGCCUGAUCCAGCCAUGCCGCGUGAGUGAUGAAGGCCCUAGGGUUGUAAAGCUCUUUCACCGGUGAAGAUAAUGACGGUAACCGGAGAAGAAGCCCCGGCUAACUUCGUGCCAGCAGCCGCGGUAAUACGAAGGGGGCUAGCGUUGUUCGGAUUUACUGGGCGUAAAGCGCACGUAGGCGGACUAUCAAGUCAGGGGUGAAAUCCCGGGGCUCAACCCCGGAACUGCCUUUGAUACUGGUAGUCUUGAGUUCGAGAGAGGUGAGUGGAAUUCCGAGUGUAGAGGUGAAAUUCGUAGAUAUUCGGAGGAACACCAGUGGCGAAGGCGGCUCACUGGCUCGAUACUGACGCUGAGGUGCGAAAGCGUGGGGAGCAAACAGGAUUAGAAACCCGAGUAGUCCCA
rnacentral:rRNA from 1 species